CCUACGGGAGGCAGCAGUGGGGAAUAUUGGACAAUGGGCGAAAGCCUGAUCCAGCCAUGCCGCGUGUGUGAAGAAGGCCUUCGGGUUGUAAAGCACUUUCAGUGGGGAAGAAAGCCUUGGGGCUAAUACCCUCGAGGAAGGACAUCACCCACAGAAGAAGCACCGGCUAACUCCGUGCCAGCAGCCGCGGUAAUACGGAGGGUGCGAGCGUUAAUCGGAAUUACUGGGCGUAAAGCGCGCGUAGGCGGUGUGAUAAGCCGGUUGUGAAAGCCCCGGGCUCAACCUGGGAACGGCAUCCGGAACUGUCAGGCUAGAGUGCAGGAGAGGAAGGUAGAAUUCCCGGUGUAGCGGUGAAAUGCGUAGAGAUCGGGAGGAAUACCAGUGGCGAAGGCGGCCUUCUGGACUGACACUGACGCUGAGGUGCGAAAGCGUGGGUAGCAAACAGGAUUAGAUACCCGAGUAGUC
rnacentral:rRNA from 1 species